UAAUUGAAGAGUUUGAUCAUGGCUCAGAUUGAACGCUGGCGGCAGGCCUAACACAUGCAAGUCGAGCGGAAACGAAGAGGUGCUUGCACCUCUGGCGUCGAGCGGCGGACGGGUGAGUAAUGCUUGGGAAUAUGCCUUAUGGUGGGGGACAACAGUUGGAAACGACUGCUAAUACCGCAUAAUGUCUACGGACCAAAGUGGGGGACCUUCGGGCCUCACGCCAUAAGAUUAGCCCAAGUGGGAUUAGCUAGUUGGUGAGGUAAUGGCUCACCAAGGCGACGAUCCCUAGCUGGUUUGAGAGGAUGAUC
rnacentral:rRNA from 1 species